UCAUGUAGUUGCACUUCUUUACCAGACUGCACACUACUCCCAACUCCAGCUGCCAACUGUUCCUCCUGCACAAGUGAUUUACAAAGAUGGCACAGACCAAGAACACAGGGGAAACAACCUGAACUUGUCAGCAAAGUGGUGGUGAGGAAGCCCAAAACUAUGGGGGAAAGAUAUCUGCACUCCACAUUUUACAGAGCUUACACAGGAGCACUUCCAGAUCCCGACAUUCUGGCAUCAGGAGAACAACUACGCCAGCUGGAGUCCCAACCACUUAUGGCUCUUGUACUAGAUGGUCUUUCAAAUUUGGAGCUGGUUCCAUCCAAACUUGGGCCUGUGCCACAGGGCUCACCAAUGUUUUAUCAAUGCCCACCUGAGAAGUCAUCUGGUAGCAUCAUUUUGCACCACAUGGCUCCAGACUUCCCUUCUCGUCCUUUGAUGCUUCAUAGUCUUCCGAAUAUGUGUUUUGUGCCCAAACUCGGUCAACUUAUGCAUCUUCAGUCUCUGCAAGUGUCACUGGAAAUGUCUUAUGAAAUAGAGGCCAGAACAAGAGAGUUUAAGU